CUUGCAGCAGUUUUGAACUCCUGGCGCUGUUACAACCAUCAUAAGCUGCCUUUGUUGACUACCAGAUAGACGUGUGGAGUGUCCAGUCGUGCGUCGAUGAGCAGUAAUGUUGGUGCUCUGGUUCAUCUCUGAAUUGUGGUCGUAGUUAUGACUAAGUUGUUGCUACUACCACUAGCGCUGUUACUACCACCACUACUAGUACAACAAGUGCUGCUGCCAUCACUACUAUUGCAGCUACCACCACUACAAGUACCACUAGUGCUGCUUCUGCUG